rnacentral:rRNA from 1 species
UACAGAGGGUGCAAGCGUUAAUCGGAAUUACUGGGCGUAAAGCGUGCGUAGACGGUUAUGUAAGUCAGAUGUGAAAGCCCCGGGCUCAACCUGGGAAUUGCAUUUGAGACUGCAUAGCUAGGGUGCGGAAGAGGGAAGCGGAAUUUCCGGUGUAGCGGUGAAAUGCGUAGAUAUCGGAAGGAACACCAGUGGCGAAAGCGGCUUCCGUGGUCCAGCACCGACGUCAGGCACGAAAGCGUGGGGAGCAAAC